AACUUGGUUCAGGGCACGCAAUGGUAUAUAUAUAUCCAGGGCAAACUAUUUUGAUUAUUGUUUUGUGUCCGUGGGUGUAUGUGAAAGAAUGCUCUGUUAUUUCAUCUUUGUUUUUAUACAUAAUGAUUUGUUGGUUUCUUAUAUGUUUUCCUAAACAGCUUGAAAAUAAUAACUUGAAUUUUCAAGACAAUUUAUUCUUAUUAUGAUCAAGUCUACACCAGCAAUCAAUUUAAUGAUACAAUACUUUGAUUGGGUUAACCUGGUAUGCAAAAGAAUUCUAGCUGUAGAUGCUAGUGCCAGCCAGAUGAUUAAAGCAAUUCUUUCAUAUGUUAUUGUGCAUAUAGCUAUGCAUCUAUUUGUGAUUAAUUGAAUUUACUUUUAAAUUUUGAAAAUGAGUUUGCCACUUGACAGUUUGAAUUGCUUUCUGUAGUAUGCACUAUGUCUCUUUAUUUUGUUACCUUUAUUUAACAUGAGGUCCAUCAUUUUUUUUAACUUUAGGUAAUUAGGUCCUAUGUGCAUGAACUGGAGUACAAGUAUCUGUUACAAGUACAUGCUGGGGUUAGACAUGCCAAUUUUCCAAAAUCUUCAUAGGUUUUCUCCUAAAUUUUAAGUGCUGAAUUGUCCUACCCCUGUACAAGUAUCCCAUCUGAUGUGGCACUUUGGGGUAAAGUGAGAAGUCAGAGUAACUACAACUGCGGGUACGAGUAGUCUAUGAGCACAUAUUUGUGUUUAGAAAAGGUCAUAACAGUUUUUGUUUGUAAGGUGUACUUUUCUCUUAGUAGCUGUCCCUUCAAUUUGCACCUGUUUCUGAAUGUCAAAGUAUUGAUACCUGUGCUGAUGACAGUAACAGAAUAGUAGUUUUACUUGUUGCCUUGGUUGUGGAGGCAGUGAUGCUUGUUGAAAAUUGAAAUGCUAAAUUGCCUUCUAUAGUCUGAAUGUUAUCAGUAGUGAUUAUGCUGCUCAUAUUGGAUGGUAUUGAGCCCUGUUCAAGAAAAAUUAUGAAUAAUCAUGCUUCUUUAUUGCCUAUGUUUGCCCCCUCAACUUAUCUUUAGUCAUUCAUUAUCAUUUACCAUAUAACAUUUUUUUAGUGAAUUCACUCAACCAAACUCAACUGUACAUUAAAUUCAAACUAUUUGAGAUUUACUAUAUAAAUAAUUUUCCUUUCAUUCUAAUUUCUACCUGGUUUAGAGCUGCAUCUUCAAAAAGAUGUCGGACCACUAGUUGCUCGAAUAAAGUUGUUUGGAGGUCAGUGUAUUUCUGGAGCCUUGGUGCAACUUCUAUGUCCAUUUGUAGGAAGAAAACCAGAAAUUAGAUAUAUAAGCUUGGUAAUUUUUUAGGCUCAUCUCUUUUUCUGUGGGAUUCAAGUCAAAUGAAUAUACCAUCUUUCAGCAUACAACAACCUCUACAAAGAUGUUUGUUCAGAGGAUCGUUAAGGGAAGAAUUAUAUGGUUUAUGGUUCUUAGUACAAGAGAUUAAAAUUCUGGAGAAUAAAGAAAUAAACUUUAUCAGUUAUUCCAGAAAGUUCCAAAUUUGAUUAUGCUCAAAUAUUUUUUUGAUAAAAUAAUGUUUGUAUAAAUAGUGCUAGAGAGGAAAUAGAGUACAAGGAGGAAAGACUUCCUCCUAAGAAAAAGCUAAAAUCGAAAACAUAAGUUUAUUAUCAAAACAAAGGGACUUUCCAACCUUGCAAUAUAUCUAAUUAUCUACUGGAGAUAUCCCUAUUAAAAAAACUAAAUGCUGAACACCAGAUAGACAACAUGGAUACCUUUUUUAAGUCUAAGUAAUAGCAUAGCAAAGAUGUUCCUGAAAACUCUUGCAUUAUGCUCCAAACAAACUCUUCAAAACACCCAAAUUUCACGCUAUCCAGACAAUCCUUUCCCUCCUUCGUCUUGUAACCCUUCAAAUGAAACAACUAUAAUUCUUAAAGUGGGCAAACCCACUUUUCACUAGAAAUGGCGAAAGUUUUUUUCUUCAGAUACUUAAUGAAACAUAACAAUACAAGACUGGAUAUGCAUGAUCUCACCACUAUAAAAACAUGGGAAUGCCUCAUCAGGUCUCCACUCUUGUAGCUUAUUACUAUUAAUGUUAUUACGUAUUGCUUGCCAAACUGAAGUCUUUGUUUUAAGGGGAGCUUUAGACUUUCUUAUGUGACUAUGGUGAAAAUAAUUUAAUGGUCUUUGGUCUUAUAGCUGUUUUGUGCCUUCUGAGUUACAUUUCCCUGUUGUUUUGCUAAUAAUAAACGAGUACAUGGAUGUAACAAACCAGCAUGAACAUAAUAGUUCACUUGACACAUGGACUACACGCUUGAUUUUGAGGGCAGUCACCAGUAUUUUGAUCUGUCCCUUUGCAUUUGGCAAUGGGGCGCAGUGAGGGCAGGCAGCCAUUCCCCAUCCCGUCUCACCCACCUAAUGGGGAGACCCACUGCCAUCCUUCAUUGGCUUCUAUAAUCUUCAUGUUGAAGGUUACCUUCCUUUGGAUGGUGAAAUUCUCCUGCAACUAGAUUAAAAAUUUUAAUUCUAUAUUUGUUCUUACGACAUAAUAGUUGGGCACUUUCACAUACUAACUUCCAUGCGUGGCUGGUGGAAUUGAAGGCGGCAGCAGCAGCUUACCCAUA
rnacentral:misc_RNA from 1 species